UACGUAGGGUGCAAGCGUUAAUCGGAAUUACUGGGCGUAAAGCGUGCGCAGGCGGCUCUGUAAGACAGAUGUGAAAUCCCCGGGCUCAACCUGGGAACUGCAUUUGUGACUGCAUGGCUAGAGUGCGGCAGAGGGGGAUGGAAUUCCGCGUGUAGCAGUGAAAUGCGUAGAUAUGCGGAGGAACACCGAUGGCGAAGGCAAUCCCCUGGGCCUUAACUGACGCUGAGGAGCGAAAGCGUGGGGAGCGAACAGG
rnacentral:rRNA from 1 species